rnacentral:rRNA from 1 species
GGCUCAGGAUGAACGCUAGCGGCAGGCUUAACACAUGCAAGUCGAGGGGCAUCGGGAGUAGCAAUACUGCCGGCGACCGGCGCAAGGGUGCGUAACGCGUGAGCAACAUGCCCGUAUCAGGGGGGAUAAUCCAUGGAAACGUGGUCUAAUACCCCAUAGUAAUUAUGUAAGGCAUCUUAUAUAAUUUAAAGCUUUGGUGGAUACGGAUUGGCUCGCGUGACAUUAGCUAGAUGGUAAGGUAACGGCUUACCAUGGCUACGAUGUCUAGGGGUUCUGAGAGGAAGGCCCCCCACACUGGAACUGAGACACGGUCCAGACUCCUACGGGAGGCAGCAGUGAGGAAUAUUGGACAAUGGAUGGAAAUCUGAUCCAGCCAUGCCGCGUGCAAGGAAGACGGCCCUAUGGGUUGUAAACUGCUUUUGUAUGGGAGCAAUAAGGGCUACGCGUAGUCCGAUGAGAGUACCAUACGAAUAAGCACCGGCUAACUCCGUGCCAGCAGCAGC